rnacentral:rRNA from 1 species
UACGUAGGGGGCGAGCGUUGUCCGGAUUUAUUGGGCGUAAAGAGCUCGUAGGCGGUUUGGCAAGUCGGGUGUGAAAACUCCGGGCUCAACUCGGAGACGCCACUCGAUACUGCCAUGACUUGAGUCCGGUAGGGGAGUGCGGAAUUCCUGGUGUAGCGGUGAAAUGCGCAGAUAUCAGGAGGAACACCGGUGGCGAAGGCGGCACUCUGGGCCGACACUGACACUGAGAGACGAAAGCUAGGGGAGCGAAUGGG